UACGUAGGCGGUAAAUUCAGUCAGUGGUGAAAUCCUGCAGCUUAACUGUAGAACUGUCAUUGAUACUGGUUUUCUUGAAUACAGUUGAGGUAGGCGGAAUGUGUAAUGUAGCGGUGAAAUGCUUAGAUAUUACACAGAACACCGAUUGCGAAGGCAGCUUACUAAACUGUUAUUGACGCUGAGGUACGAAAGCGUGGGGAGCGAACAGGAUUACAUACCCUGGUAGUC
rnacentral:rRNA from 1 species